AUUGAACGCUGGCGGCAUGCCUUACACAUGCAAGUCGAACGGCAGCACGGGAGCAAUCCUGGUGGCGAGUGGCGAACGGGUGAGUAAUAUAUCGGAACGUGCCCAGUCGUGGGGGAUAACGCAGCGAAAGCUGUGCUAAUACCGCAUACGAUCUACGGAUGAAAGCGGGGGAUCGCAAGACCUCGCGCGAUUGGAGCGGCCGAUAUCAGAUUAGCUAGUUGGUGAGGAAAAGGCUCACCAAGUCGACGAUCUGUAGCUGGUCUGAGAGGACGAGCAGCAACACGGAAGAUGAGACACGGUCCAGACUCCUACGGGAGGAAGCAGUGGGGAAUUUUGGACAAUGGGCGCAAGCCUGAUCCAGCAAUGCCGCGUGCAGGAAGAAGGCCUUCGGGUUGUAAACUGCUUUUGUACGGAACGAAACGGUGAGCUCUAAUACAGUUUGCUAAUGACGGUACCGUAAGAAUAAGCACCGGCUAACUACGUGCCAGCCGCCGCGGUAAAAC
rnacentral:rRNA from 1 species